GCCACAUCAUAUUGAAACAUUGGUUCCCGUAUGAUCACCUAAGUUAAGCAACAUUGAGCCUGGUCAGUACUUAGGUGGGUGAACACUUGGGAAUACCAGGUGUUGUAAGC